rnacentral:rRNA from 1 species
UGGGGUACACGAGUGGCGAACGGGUGAGUAACACGUGGGUGACCUGCCCUGCACUUCGGGAUAAGCCUGGGAAACUGGGUCUAAUACCGGAUAGGACCGCACCGUGAGGGUGUGGUGGAAAGUUUUUUCGGUGUGGGAUGGGCCCGCGGCCUAUCAGCUUGUUGGUGGGGUAAUGGCCUACCAAGGCGGCGACGGGUAGCCGGCCUGAGAGGGUGGACGGCCACAUUGGGACUGAGACACGGCCCAGACUCCUACGGGAGGCAGCAGUGGGGAAUAUUGCACAAUGGGCGGAAGCCUGAUGCAGCGACGCCGCGUGGGGGAUGACGGCCUUCGGGUUGUAAACUCCUUUCACCAUCGACGAAGGGUUUCUGACGGUAGAUGGAGAAGAAGCACCGGCUAACUACGUGCCAGCAGCCGCGGUAAUACGUUGGGUGCGAGCGUUGUCCGGAAUUACUGGGCGUAAAGAGCUCGUAGGUGGUUUGUCGCGUCGUCUGUGAAAUUCCGGGGCUUAACUCCGGGCGUGCAGGCGAUACGGGCAUAACUUGAGUACUGUAGGGGAGACUGGAAUUCCUGGUGUAGCGGUGAAAUGCGCAGAUAUCAGGAGGAACACCGGUGGCGAAGGCGGGUCUCUGGGCCAGUAACUGACGCUGAGGAGCGAAAGCAUGGGGAGCGAACAGGAUUAGAUACCCUGGUAGUCCAUGCCGUAAACGGUGGGCGCUAGGUGUGGGUUUCCUUCCACGGGAUCCGUGCCGUAGCUAACGCAUUAAGCGCCCCGCCUGGGGAGUACGCCGCAAGGCUA